rnacentral:rRNA from 1 species
AACCAGCACCUCAAGUGGUCAGGAUGAUUAUUGGGCCUAAAGCAUCCGUAGCCUGUUCUGUAAGUUUUCGGUUAAAUCUAUGCGCUCAACGUAUAGGCUGCCGAAAAUACUGCAGAACUAGGGAGUGGGAGAGGUAGACGGUACUCGGUAGGAAGGGGUAAAAUCCUUUGAUCUAUUGAUGACCACCUGUGGCGAAAGCGCUCUGCUGGGCCAUAACUGACGCUCAUGGACGAAAGCCAGGGGAGCGAAAGGG